AGGUAAUAUAAAUUAUAUAAAAACCUAUUUACAUUGGCGGCAAUUCAUCUAAUUAAAGGAACUUGUUUUAUAAUCGAUAUACCACGUUAAAUUUCACUUAAAUUAUAUAAUUUAUAUAUCGCCAUCUUAAGAAUUAAUUUAAAUAAAUUACUCUAAAUAUUUAUAUAUAUAUAGAAAGUUAGGUCAAGGUGUAAUUAAAAUUUAAGAAAUUAAUGAGUUACAAUAAAUAUAUUUAAAGAUUAUUUUAUUAAAAAUAAAUAUAAAAAAGGAUUUAAAUGUAAUAUUUUAAUAAAAAUUAAAUAUGAAUAAGACAAAAAUGUGC
rnacentral:rRNA from 1 species